rnacentral:rRNA from 1 species
GAUGAACGCUGGCGGCGUGCCUAAUACAUGCAAGUCGAGCGAACAGACUCUUAGCUUGCUCCUCUUACGUUAGCGGCGGACGGGUGAGUAACACGUUGCUACCCGACCUAUAAUACUUGGAUAACUUCGGGAAACCUGCGCUAAUUCCGGCUCAUAUCUUGAACCGCAUGGUUCAAUAGUUAAACGCGUUUUUGCUGUCACUUAUCGUUGGAUCCGCGCCGCAUUAGCUAGUUGGUAAGGUAACGGCUUACGAAGGCAACGAUGCGUAGACGACCUGAGAGGGUGGUAGGCGACACUGGAACUGAGACGCGGACAAGACGCCUAAGGGAGGCAGCAGAAGGGAAUCGUACGCAGUGGGCGAGAGCAUGACGGAGCGAGGGCGCGUGAGUGGUGGAGGUCUUCGGAUCGUAAAGAUGGGUUAUUAGGGGAAAACAAAUGUGUAAGGAAAUAUGCACGAAGUGACGGUACCUAAACAGAAAGCAACGGCUAACUACGUG